rnacentral:rRNA from 1 species
AGAGAAGUUAGAGAAGAGUACAUAGGGGGAUGCCUAGUGGCUUUCAGAGGCGAGGAAGGACGUAACAAGUUGCGAAAAGCUGCGGGGAUUGGCAAAUACGAGUUGAUCCGCAGAUAUCCGAAUGGGGGAACCCGGUAGGUUGAAGACCUAUCACCACAGAAUUGUGGGGCGAACGCAGUGAACUGAAACAUCUAAGUAGCUGCAGGAGAAGAAAUCAAGAGAGAUUGCGUGAGUAGUGGUGAGCGAAAGCGUAAGAGCCUAAACUAUUGAUGUUACGGCAUUGAUAGGGUUGAAGGACUCCGGGAUAAAGAAGUAUAUGAUAGUGGAAUGGUUUGGGAAGGCUAACCGAAGAGGGUGAAAGUCCCGUACACGAAAUUGUAUAUAAUUUUAGGAGAAUCCUGAGUAGGGCGGGACCGGAGGAAUCCUGUCUGAAUCUACCAGCACCAUCUGGUAAGGCUAAAUACUACUGAAAGACCGAUAGUGGACGAGUACUGUGAAGGAAAGGUGAAAAGAACCGUGAGCAACGGAGUGAAAGAGAAUCUGAAACCAUGUACUUACAAGCGGUCGGAGCCUCAUUAGGGGGUGACGGCGUGCCUAUUGAAUAAUGAGCCUACGAGUUACUGUUACUGGCGAGGUUAAGUAAUUAAGUUACGGAGCCGGAGCGAAAGCGAGUCUGAAUAGGGCGAGAAUAGUCAGUAGGGGUAGACGCGAAACUUAGUGAUCUACCUUUGGGCAGGUUGAAGUUCCGGUAACGCGGAAUGGAGGACCGAACUGGUAAACGUUGAAAAGUUUUCGGAUGACCUGAAGGUAGGAGUGAAAGGCCAAUCAAACUGAGAGAUAGCUCGUACUCCCCGAAAAGCUUUUAGGAGCUACCUGGAUAGAUAGUUUGCAGAGGUAGAGCUACUGAUAGGAUGCGGGGGUGUCAAAGCCUGCCAAUUCCUGACAAACUGCGAAUACUGCAAAGCGAAUAUCUGGAGAAAGGCUGCGGGCGCUAACAUCCGUAGCCGAGAGGGGAAUAACCCAGACCAACAGCUAAGGUCCCAGAAUGUAUGCUAAGUUGGAUUAACGAAGUCGGUCUGCAAAGACAGCCAGGAUGUUGGCUUGGAAACAGCCA